UACUGAUAACUGGUAGUGACUUAUCCCAAUAGAUGGUUCAGAGUCAGUUACAGAUCAAACUCCUUGUUCACUCCCCUUUCACUACUGCACUUAGCUAGUCUUAA
ensembl:misc_RNA Y_RNA Y RNA